rnacentral:rRNA from 1 species
AAUAUUGGUCAAUGGGCGAGAGCCUGAACCAGCCAAAUCGCGUGAAGGAAGACUACCCUACGGGUUGUAAACUUCUUUUAUAGGGGAAUAAAAAAGGGAACGAGUUCCCUAUUGUAUGUACCCUAUGAAUAAGCAUCGGCUAACUCCGUGCCAGCAGCCGCGGUAAUACGGAGGAUGCGAGCGUUAUCCGGAUUUAUUGGGUUUAAAGGGUGCGCAGGCGGGAACUUAAGUCAGCGGUGAAAUCUCGACGCUUAACGUCGAACCUGCCGUUGAAACUGGGUUCCUUGAGUAUAGAUGAAGUAGGCGGAAUUCGUUGUGUAGCGGUGACAUGCAUAGAUAUAACGAGGAACUCCGAUUGCGUAGGCAGCUUACUAAACUAUAACUGACGCUCAUGCACGAAAGCGUGGGGAUCAAACAGG